rnacentral:lncRNA from 1 species
UUACAAAAGUGGUUCAAAGGAAUAACUUUGAAAUGUUAUAAAUUAUUUGUAAGUUUGAAAUAUAUGCUAGCUCAAGUGACCAUCCUCAAUAAGAAGUGUAGAAGAGUUACUUAGACUUAUAAGAAGGCCGAGCCCACCGGCACUUAACACCAUCAGCAGCAGCACAAAACUAUAACCUGAAAAACAACAGGGAAUAAAACUCUAAGCAUGGAAUUACUCAGCAAGACUUACCCGACUAAAGAAAAGACUCUCAAGGGUAUGCUGGCUAGAGGGAUUCAAGGUAUGGUUAAUCAAGAAUAAAAGACUCUGUUUUGCAGAAAAGCUUACUAUGAGUGGAUCCUUAAAAAUCCAUUUUUACUUGUCAGGUUAAGUAAAAUUACCUGCAUCUAGAGUUUUUCUACCCUAGUUCAAGCACUUGGCCUAUACUAGCCAUCUUUUUAUCAUCCCUUCAGUUCACUGGAUUGCUACGUGUAGGGCAGUGACCAAGUCUUCAUGUCCGCGAAGUUACGGCGAUCCGAAUCGAUUAUACUCAGCCGAGGAUCUCCAAUCACACGACAUAUGUAGCACUUAACCCUUGCAUAUGUCAACUCGCCAUCGAAGUUCUUAAGACCAGAUCAGGUUCACGCCAACCGAGAGCACAGAUACACCACCGUCCAGCCUCUUGCCACGAAGGGUACACGCUACUCUCGCCAUCUCUCCACUCCCAUUGCGUGUUAUCUUAUUCUGGUAUUAGUCUGCCCGAGGCAAAGCUUACCUAUGACGAGACAUGUGACCAGCUAAAGGGUCCUCGAUCAUCAAGCCUACAUCGACAAGGUCCUUAAUCGACUCAGACGGAGACACUACACCGAGACUCCCUUCUCGUGCAAGUCAACCGCCCGAUCUCAGCUUUAUCAUUUCAAACCCAAAGUUUGGUACCUGGCAGAGGUACAUCUUUUCCGAUGUUGAACCCAUCAAGGCCUUUGACGGAUCCACCAUCAAGUUUUAUUUUUGAAAACAUUCCCACCCACUGAAGCAUCACUUUUGUUUUAAAACAAAACAUUUUUGUUUGCUAAAGCAAGGCUAAGCAUCAUAAAAUUCUUUUCAAAACGGGUAUCAAGGAAGGGUAAUCAAUUUUCAAGGAAAGAAAUGCAUCAACGGUUUAGCACACAAUUCCUAUCACCUAAUGCAUCAAACAAGGUGAUAAAGAUUUUAAAACACAAGGAGGUGGCAAAUGCACCGAGGCUUGCCUGAAUAACACUAGGUUAGUGUUUGUUAGGCGAUGUCCACUUGACGAUCAUCCUUGUCCUAGCACUUGAUCAGGUAGGUUCAUCCAUCAGCAUCACCAUGCAGAGUAGCCCGCGCUUGGGGUCGACUUGGCUCGUCUUCCGCAUCACGCGAUUAUUUAUCGUACCUCAUGAGAUGCACGAUGCACAUGUAUGAGCACGAGUAUAAAUAGUACAAGAUAGAUAAUCUACGCUAAAAAGGAUGAAACACUUAUAACCUAUAACCAAGCAUAUUUUAUACAAUACACCAAUUACAACUUUAAAACUAAAAGACCUAAAGUGUUUAUACGCAUUACUUAUCAGACAGACCCUAAAUUUUUUUUGAAACAGAGAUAUCGAUGUUACUUGAUCCUAAUUAUUCGAAGUAGCAAUCAACAUUCAUUCAAAUCAUGAAAUCGACCAACACACAUAGAAUAUCAUACCUAGUUUAGAGAGCAUGCUAAACGACUUAUAACUUUAACUUCAAAAUUCUUGGACACCUAACACUUAUAAAAUUUGAUAGAAGAACUUUCAUUAACUUUCUAAACUAAUUUACAGGUUAACCUGUAUAUCAUACAUAUUAGUAAAACUUCCCAUUUUAACAUCUAUAGUCCCGCGAACACUGAGACCUAUUGAGACCUCUUUCAAUCCACUAACACGACAUCGACCAAAUUACCAAAACGACUCAGGCAAUCUAAUAAAUAUUAUACCUAGUCAAAC